rnacentral:lncRNA from 1 species
CCUUAGCUUAAUCUGGGCUUAAUACCCUAUUAUGGCAUGAAAUCCCCUAUUUUCCACCCGGAUGAACAGUAACCCGGACUGACAGUGGGUUACUUCAUCCCGGUUUUGAUCCACUUUUAGGACUCCAAAUUUGAUGAAAUUUUUAUCUAACAUUCUACACUCAUAGAGGAUUCCAAAGAGAUAACAUGCAUCAUCAUCGGAGGCCGUUUGACCCCCUAAAUAAUUCACCGAAUUUGGGACUUCGACACAGUUUUUCCGUAAUGCUGGAAAAAUUUGUCGAAAUCCGAUUUUUCCUCUUUUAACCACCUCUACAACCCUUAUCCGACCCCUCUAGACUAUAUCCACCCUUUGUAUAGCCUAAUGUCAUCAAAAGACUAGAUAGGGACGGAUAUUUACCUUUUUCUUUUUAGAAAUCGAGAUUCUUGCG